rnacentral:rRNA from 1 species
AUGUCUGCCUUUCCGGGCGACGACAUGGGUGCUACAUUGGCCGAUGAGAAGCCCCACGUGGUGUGCGUGCCUUUCCCGUCGCAGGGGCACAUAACGCCGAUGAUGAAGCUGGCUAAGGUCCUUCACCGCAAGGGCUUCCACAUCACCUUCGUCAACACUGAGUACAACCAACGCCGCCUCGUCCGCUCCCACGGCCCUGACGCCAUAACCGGCCUCCCGGACUUCCGCAUCGCCACCAUUCCGGACGGCAUGCCCUUGUCUGACGCCGAUGCCACGCAAGACCCGGAAUCCCUUUGCUAUUCCACCAUGACCACCUGCCUCCCCCACCUCAAGAACCUGCUCCAUGACCUCAACAAUAAAUCCGGGACGCCGCUGGUAAGGUGCGUCGUGGCGGAUGGCCUCAUGAGCCUUAGCGUUGAUGCUGCGGUGGAGAUCGGCGUUCCUUGCGCGCUGUUCUGGACUGCCAGCGCCUGCGGCUACAUGGGCUACCACAACUUUAGGUUUCUCAUAGAUGAGGGCCUUACUCCUCUCAAAGAUAAAGAGCAGGUGACAAACGGGUACAUGGACACGCCCGUGACACAUGCUUGUGGUAUGAGCAAGCACAUGCGUCUCCGAGACUUCCCGUCUUUCAUCCGCACCACGACCCGGGGCGACGUCCUGCUCAACUUCAUGAUACACCAGCUAGAGCAGUCCAGCCGCGCGACCGCCAUUAUUGUUAACACCUUUGACGAGCUAGAGCAGCCGGCAUUGGACGCUAUGUGCACCAUGCUUCCCCUACCAAUCUACACUAUCGGCCCGCUAAACUUCCUCACCGAGCAGCUGGUCCCCAAUGGUGACGGCAGCGAUACACUCGCCGCGAUAUGCCCCAACCUCUGGAGAGAAGACCGGUCUUGCCUUGAGUGGCUACAAGGCAGGGAGCCUCAGUCCGUGGUGUACAUCAACUUUGGUAGCAUCACCACCAUGUCCAGCCAAGAGCUCCUGGAGUUCGCAUGGGGGCUGGCCAACUGCGGCUAUGACUUCCUGUGGAUCGUGAGAAAUGACCUCGUAAAGGGCGAUGUCGCCAUGCUGCCUCCCGAGUUCCUUGAGGUGACAAAGGGCAGGUGCCUCCUGGCGAGCUGGUGCGACCAGGAGGCGGUGCUGCAUCACGAGGCGGUGGGCGCGUUCCUGAUGCACUGUGGGUGGAACUCCAUGAUGGAGGGGCUCAGUGCAGGGGUGCCAAUAUUGUGUUGGCCCUUCUUCGCGGAGCAGCAAACCAAUUCCCGCUACGCGUGCGUGGAGUGGGGCGUCGGGAUGGAGGUUGGCAAGGACGUGCGCCGAGAGGUGGUCGAGGCAAGGAUACGAGAAGUGAUGGGAGUAGGAGAGGUAGGGAGGGAGAUGAGGCGGAAGGCGGUGGAGUGGAGCAAGAUUGCCGUUCGCGCAACCGCACAACCGGGUGGUAGGUCGUUGGCCAACCUCUCGAGUCUGCUCGAGGAUAUACUAUUGAGUGCGGUUGAAAAUGCUGGGUAG